rnacentral:rRNA from 1 species
GCUACACAUGCAGUCGAGCGGAACGAUGGUAGCUUGCUACCAGGCGUCGAGCGGCGGACGGGUGAGUAAUACUUAGGAAUCUACCUAGUAGUGGGGGAUAGCACGGGGAAACUCGUAUUAAUACCGCAUACGACCUACGGGAGAAAGGGGGCAGUUUACUGCUCUCGCUAUUAGAUGAGCCUAAGUCGGAUUAGCUAGAUGGUGGGGUAAAGGCCUACCAUGGCGACGAUCUGUAGCUGGUCUGAGAGGAUGAUCAGCCACACCGGGACUGAGACACGGCCCGGACUCCUACGGGAGGCAGCAGUGGGGAAUAUUGGACAAUGGGGGAAACCCUGAUCCAGCCAUGCCGCGUGUGUGAAGAAGGCCUUUUGGUUGUAAAGCACUUUAAGCAGUGAAGAAGACUCUUCGGUUAAUACCCGGAGACGAUGACAUUAGCUGCAGAAUAAGCACCGGCUAACUCUGUGCCAGCAGCCGCGGUAAUACAGAGGGUGCAAGCGUUAAUCGGAAUUACUGGGCGUAAAGCGAGCGUAGGUGGCUUGAUAAGUCAGAUGUGAAAUCCCCGGCUUAACCUGGGAACUGCAUCUGAACUGUUAGGCUAGAGUAGGUGAGA